AGAAAUAUGGAGAUGAGAGAGGAGAGAAGAAGGGCAGUGAAACAUUAAUAUUAACUUCUUAAGUAGACCUGGUUGUUACAGUAAAGUCACUGGUAAUGUUUCUAAAUGACACACGAUUAUCCAACAGAAUUUAAUCUUCUUUUUCUUCUUUGUAAAUUAGAUUAGUUGAUAAUGGUGUGAUAACACCUCAGGCCGGUAGGUGGCGGUACUACAAUGACCGUGAGCCACUAGUGAAACUAACAGCAGAAGAAAAUCAAGGCUCUCUGCGGCUUUUAGCCACAGCUCCCUUUUUCUCCCCGUUAAUAUAUUUUUAUUUUAUUCGGUUUCGUGCUUUUUUUCCUUUUCAACAGAUUCAGGACUCAGAUGGGCGAUAAAUCUCUGGACAAGGAAAACGCGGCGAGAGAAGAAAGAAGCCGGACCGGAUAUUUCCGGGAAUCCCCUCAAAACAAAUGUUUAUGUAUGUCUAAGAAGCCAAUCUGGAGUAACUCGUUUUUAUUAAUUAUCAUUAUUAAUUUCUGACCGUGGGUCAGUAAUUCCCUGUUAUACUUCGUUAAGGACACGUAAUGUUUGUUUCAUUUAUAAGCUAUAAAUCUUCCACAAAGACUAAUAUAUAUUAUGAACAACACAGAAGUGGAAGAAAAAGGUUUGACUGAAAAAAAAGUUAGUGUUUUGAAAACCACAGAGCAGAACGUUUAUCUUAAUCUGUCGUUUAAAAUCCAGAUCUAGUUAAGAAUGUGAAUUGUCUGCUAAAGGAGGCUCCUCGAUGCCCGUCUAGAACCCCACACCUGACUGAAGACUUGGUGACGUCAUCAUGACGUAUCCUACAUGUCCAGGUGGAUUUGUCCGAAGACCCGCAGCGCUGGGAAUCCAUCUAAGGAGUUCCUGACCGACGUUCUGCUGGUGAAGCUGAUCGGGAUGAACAGUUCGUGGCCGACAGGCUUGGCUUCUCAAAGGUCUGGGAACCUCUUCAUGGAGAACAUCUGUCCAGAAGGAGAGAGCAGCUAGUCUGAGAGGCUGCUUGGACAGAACCAGAGGAUAGGAGUCAUUAAAGAUCACACAGAGGACACCUUCAGCUAGAUGCUGCUCUUUGAAUCCACAGAUGCUUUAAAGCCACAUCUGCCACGGUGCCUGAUUGGACCGAUAUGCUGGUGGAGACUCUCAGUCAUCCUGGUUAUAAUAAAUUCAAAAAAAGGUUAAAAAAUAAAACAACUGGGCUUCUGUUCUGACGCUGAAGACGUUUCGCUUCCCAUCCAGGAAGCUUUCCCAGUUCAAAAUUGAGAAAGAUUCCUGGAGAAACGUCUUCAGCUUCAGAACAGAAGCCCAGUUGUUUUAUUUUUUAGUAUUUUUUAUUUUAGAGUGUAUAU